rnacentral:lncRNA from 1 species
AUGUAUUUUAAAUGUUGGCAUAAAAAUGGCGGCUAUAAACCUCCGUGCCAAGCAGAUCGAAUCUGUGAAGCGUAUGUUGAAUUUUCAUGAAAGUGUGACUAAAACUUCACUUGCAUUAGCAGAGCCAACAUGGAAGGUUUUAGUUUAUGAUCAGUUUGGUCAAGAUAUUAUUUCACCUUUGCUUACUCUCAAAGAACUUAGAGAACUUGGUGUUACAUU